AGCGGGUUAGAGGAACGGCACCUCAUCAGGCUCAUAACCUGGGGAACCUGGUUCGACUCCAGGACCCGCAA
rnacentral:tRNA from 1 species